rnacentral:lncRNA from 1 species
AGCAAGUCUCUUAUGAGCAGACUGUUGCCUAAAUUUCCUUGCCAGUUAUUUGAAUGUUCAUCAUCUAAUCGUUUAGCAGUGCAAAGUCAUCAUAAACUGAGAAGUAACUGAUGGUGAUACUAGAGCUGUAAGAGGAACAGCUACACGUAGUAGAGAAGCAACUGAUGGUGAUACUAGAGCUGUAAGAAGAGAAACAGCUACACGUAAUAAUGCAGAGAUUGCCGUUACAGUUGAUGGUACAUUAAAGGUCUUCCUGUCCAUUCUCAUUGACUUAAUUGCAGACUUCUUACUAGCUCUUGUUGAUCACAGAGACUCGUGGCAGAUAUAUGAUGCUAUUGUAAUUCAUCCUUGUGAGCCAGGAGUAACUGAAUGGAUCAAUGUCUGUAACCUAAAACGGUGCGUCUUGUAGUGACGGACCAGUUUCUGAUCUUUGUUGGACGGGACAGGGUCACCACUCCCUUGUAUAUCAGGAUUUGUGUAUUUUAAUGGGAUUAAUGGAUAUAUACCUGACGAACCAGUUCCUGAUCUUUGUUGGACGGGACAGGGUC